GACAGAGGGUGCAAACGUUGUUCGGAAUUACUGGGCGUAAAGCGCGUGUAGGCGGCCCUGCAAGUCGGGUGUGAAAUCCCAUGGCUCAACCAUGGAAGUGCACUCGAAACUGCAGGGCUAGAGUCCUGGAGAGGAAGGUGGAAUGCUUGGUGUAGAGGUGAAAUUCGUAGAUAUCAAGCGGAACACCAGUGGCGAAGGCGGCCUUCUGGACAGUGACUGACGCUGAGACGCGAAAGCGUGGGGAGCAAACAGG
rnacentral:rRNA from 1 species